CUACGGGUGGCAGCAGUGAAGAAUAUUGCGCAAUGGGCGAAAGCCUGACGCAGCGAUGCCGCGUGAGUGAAGAAACCCUUAGGGGUGUAAAGCUCUUUUUUAUGGGACGAAUGCCCGUUUCGGCGGGAGCGACGGUACCAUGAGAAUAAGCACCGGCUAACUCCGUGCCAGCAGCCGCGGUAAUACGGAGGGUGCAAGCGUUGUCCGGAUUUACUGGGCGUAAAGGGCGUGUAGGCGGGAUGAUCAGUCGGAGGUGAAAUUUGCACAGCUCAACUGGCAAAGUGCCUUCGAUACUGUCAUCCUUGAGUGAAGGAGGGGGUAGUGGAAUUCCCGGUGUAGCGGUGGAAUGCGCAGAUAUCGGGAGGAACACCGGUGGCGAAGGCGGCUACCUGGCCUUACACUGACGCUGAUGCGCGAAAGCGUGGGGAGCAAACAGGAUUAGAUACCCGAGUAGUC
rnacentral:rRNA from 1 species